rnacentral:lncRNA from 1 species
CAGAAGAGCUGAGUAGUUUGAGUGUGCGCUCUGAAGUCAGAGAUUUGGUUUCAAGUGUUGACUCUGUAAACUUGGAUAUGGACCCUUGGGCAGAAGAUGACAUUUUCACCAGUAUUAUUAGGAAGGAUGGGAACAGGGCUCGCAUCUUUAAUUCACUGAGAUCUGUGUGUGGCUGAGAACACUGACGUGCCUGCGGGCAUAUGGCUUACAAUGUGGAGAUGGAUCUUAUUGCUGCUGGAAGCAUCCCUGAAGCCUAGAGAUAUCCCUCGCUCUCCUUUGGAUGUAGAGACAAG